ensembl:snoRNA SNORD115 Small nucleolar RNA SNORD115
GGGUCUAUGAUGACAAAUAAAUGUCAUGAAGAGAGGUGGUGACAUAAAAAUCAUGCUCAAUAUGAUUACACUGAGGCCC